UGGGGAAUUUUGGACAAUGGGGGAAACCCUGAUCCAGCCAUCCCGCGUGUGCGAUGAAGGCCUUCGGGUUGUAAAGCACUUUUGGCAGGAAAGAAACGUCGCGGGUUAAUACCCCGCGAAACUGACGGUACCUGCAGAAUAAGCACCGGCUAACUACGUGCCAGCAGCCGCGGUAAUACGUAGGGUGCAAGCGUUAAUCGGAAUUACUGGGCGUAAAGCGUGCGCAGGCGGUUCGGAAAGAAAGAUGUGAAAUCCCAGAGCUUAACUUUGGAACUGCAUUUUUAACUACCGGGCUAGAGUGUGUCAGAGGGAGGUGGAAUUCCGCGUGUAGCAGUGAAAUGCGUAGAUAUGCGGAGGAACACCGAUGGCGAAGGCAGCCUCCUGGGAUAACACUGACGCUCAUGCACGAAAGCGUGGGGAGCAAACAGGAUUAGAUACCCUGGUAGUCCACGCCCUAAACGAUGUCAACUAGCUGUUGGGGGCCUUCGGGCCUUGGUAGCGCAGCUAACGCGUGAAGUUGACCGCCUGGGGAGUACGGUCGGCAAGAUUAAAACUCAAAUGAAUUGACGGGGGUCGAUANCUG
rnacentral:rRNA from 1 species